GAAGAACAGGUUUGUCUAUUCUGCUUUUUCUACUGCACCACAACUCCCUGGUGGGAGAAGAAGGAGCCCUCUCUCUUAGGCGAGGGAAUGUUAGUGGGAAGAGGAGUCAGAGGAACACACUUCUACACCUUCCCACAGCUUCUGUUCAUUAACCUGCCACCUUCACCAGGCCUCUCAAUUCCUCAGGGCCGGACUUAGAAAAUCAUGUUGAUAGGCACCUUCCCAGUAGUCCUGCUAGCAUCACAGGGCUCAUCUCCCAGCACCUCCAGAAUCAUUAUAGGAUCCCCAAGACACAGUCCCAGUGGCCCCCACUAACAAGGCCCCAAGAGAGAAAGCGCCUCACUACUGAGGGCUCAACAGGAAACCAGCUUUGAAGAACACUUUCCCCUCUUAUAUCCCUUCUGGGGCCUCCUCCUCCUCCCUCCCCAGGUCCAAGACAAGUUCAGGAAUUUGCUUGUCUCUGCUCAAAUGCCCUGGUUGAUAUCUGAGAAAGAAGAGGCAGGCGGAUCAUGAGGUCAGGAGACUGAGACCAUCCUGGCUAACAUGGUAAAACCCCGUCUCUACUAAAAAAAUACAAAAAAUUAGCUGGGUGUGGAGGCAGAUGCCUGUAGUCCCAGCUACUCGGGAGGCUGAGGCAGGAGAAUGGUGUGAACCUGGGAGAAUGGCGUGAACCUUGCAGUGAACCGAGAUCGCACCACUGCACUCCAGCCUGGGCGACAGAGCGAGACUCCGUCUCAAAGAAAAAAGAAAAGAAAAGAAAAUGUCUCCUUAGAAAGCCCAUAUAGAGUCUCCAGCUGCACCUCUCCCUUCCUGGGGGACUUUGAGGACAUAGGCAAGUCCUGUAGGCCUCAGUGACCCACAUUAAGCAGAGCCGACAUCAUCUGCCGUAACAACCUGCCCACAAAGCCAGGGCUAGAGGCAAAGCCUUCCUUGUGAGAAAGUCUAAAUACCAGAAGGUGUGAGGCAUCGUUGCCAUGAGUAUGAAGGGCCUGAGGUGUCUCCUUUUCCGUGUCUCUCCCCCCAUCCUUCUCUCUCCUAGGAGAGCCAGUUUCUGAGUGCCCCAGAGGAGAAUGCUGUAGUGAACACAGCCCUGUACAGAGAAGACAGCAGCUUGAUUCCUCUCAUUUCUCAGUCAUUAGCCCCUCACUCGCUCUCCGGGAGGAUAACGGGGUGUGUGCAGCUCCUCCCCUUCUUUCCUGAGGAAACCUCAGUGGCUUCCGUGCCCUUGCCAGGCUUCCCCGUGGCCUGAGCACACACAGUGGAGACCUCAUUUGGAAGGCUGGUCAUCGAGACAGCCUCACAUUGGAGACAUCCUCUUGCUGUAGAGACUCCAGUGAGAUGCACGUUAUCCACAUGAAACUGCGGGU
rnacentral:lncRNA from 10 species